rnacentral:rRNA from 1 species
GAUGAACGCUGGCGGCGUGCUUAACACAUGCAAGUCGAACGGUGAAGCCAAGCUUGCUUGGUGGAUCAGUGGCGAACGGGUGAGUAACACGUGAGCAACCUGCCCUGGACUCUGGGAUAAGCGCUGGAAACGGCGUCUAAUACUGGAUAUGAGACGUGAUCGCAUGGUCGUGUUUGGAAAGAUUUUUCGGUCUGGGAUGGGCUCGCGGCCUAUCAGCUUGUUGGUGAGGUAAUGGCUCACCAAGGCGUCGACGGGUAGCCGGCCUGAGAGGGUGACCGGCCACACUGGGACUGAGACACGGCCCAGACUCCUACGGGAGGCAGCAGUGGGGAAUAUUGCACAAUGGGCGGAAGCCUGAUGCAGCAACGCCGCGUGAGGGAUGACGGCCUUCGGGUUGUAAACCUCUUUUAGCAGGGAAGAAGCGAAAGUGACGGUA